ACGCCACUGGAUCCAGCCUCCUCUCGGCUGAGUUACUGAUUGCAGGCAGCAGCAAUCCCAAGAUCUGCUUCUCAGACAUUGAUCCCAAAGAGCUAGAGACGAGCUCGGCGACCUCCAUACACACGCCGGGCCACGUGAAAGGAAGCCAUCCUGCACGGGGCACAACGCCCUGGGCUGCCCACUGCGCUCCCUCUGCCCUCCUCUGCCCUGAGCCAGUCCUGUGGGCUCUAGACCUCGCAGACCAGCAAAAGGAGAGGGCCCAGGACUGGGGUUUAAAGUCUAAGCUGUCAGGAGCAACAAUUAUUUCAACAACAAAAACUAAAAGCCAACCACUGCCUUUAGGAGGCAUGACGUCUUUGGGAUACUUUCCGGUUUCUGGUGCCACUUGUUUUUGUUUUAUUUCUUGAGGGUUGCUUCCUCAGGUUCCUUAGCUGCUUGAUUGCUGAAGAGGUGCUCCAAACAACAAGUCCAGCUUCUUUUCACCUCAGUUGACCUUGGGAAUGCUGUUGUCGCCAAGGAGACAUUAAUAUCUUCAGUCUCCUGCUAGCUUGAAUUCUUUAGGGCAGAGUCUGCUGAGAUUGCCUCCUGAUGUCAUUCUAAAUAUCUGGUGGCCCUCUAUGGGAACUGGGCCAGGCUCUGGGUGGCCAGAAAGGGGGAGCCCGUGGAAUUCCUCAUGGCGUUUUGCUCCAGAGGGACCUACUGGUGCUCCAUUGCAUAUGUGAUGACAUUACUGCUGUGUCCAAGGGACACUUGAAAAAAGAAGUCAUAGUCAUUUUGCAUUUUUUGGUCUUAAUAAAACCUCUCGGGAUGUUUGAAAUUACUGUUGAUUUCAUGAUUGGUGUAAUGUUUAUUAAAGAAAAAAGGCUCAUAAGAGUAAUAAAAAUGUAUUAGAGUAUUCACACUAACAUACCUU
rnacentral:lncRNA from 1 species